ACGUAUUUCUAAUAAUUAUUUCAUUUUUAGUUAAUAUUAGCAAGGGAGACCAUAAGAAUUCUCUUCACAAAGCCACCAUAAAAAAGCUAAGAAACCCCAUAUCGGUUGAGAACUGAGAUACACGCAAUUGGCGACAUUUAAGCACGCAACGUUAACCCCUCGAUGACCGGGACCCAGCACACACUUAUUAUCAUAAUGAACAUCAACGGAGUGGAAAGGACGAUGGAGAGGCAGGAUUGAGCGGUGUAUCCAGGACACGGUUAAGUGGUUUGCCGCAUAAUCGACGGAGAGGCCUCCGAGGUCUGGAGGCGAAACGGAUCGAGGCGUCUGGCGGAGAGAAAUGUUCAUUAAUAUACAAAAGCUCGGGUCAUCCGCAAAGUGUCCAUCACACGAUGGCCAAUGGGGAAAUGCCACGGAGGUCCUGUGAUGAGAAAGUCCUGGACGUCAUGAACGUCCUGUUCGUCCUGGCCACCCAUCGCUCCCCGUUCUCCUUUGUGGGGCCGGCGGUGGCCCAUCAAAAAGCUUUAUCACUCGGAACCACCCCGUUUUUCCACUUUUCCAUCCAUUCGCUCCGUCAGCGAGUUAUUGCCACGGCCUUUUUGGCCCUGCCUCAUGUAAAAGCAAUAAAUAAUGGCCCAGUUUACGGGGUAUGUCUCGUCUAUGGCAUGGAGCGUCAUAAAAAUAUUUUAUCCAUUAGACAUUGCCUCUCUCAUUGGGGGCCUGAGUUGUUGCUUCAGUUUGCUUAAUGGCCAUUAAUAAUUGUUGAAUUAAUGUCAACUGUGGAAUUGGAUCACAGUUCACUUAAAUGCAUAUUGGCUGUGGCCAUGUGGCGUAUACUUAAUUUAGGCUGCCUAAAUUGGGCUAAAUAUCUCAAAACACGUUUUUGAUUUCUUAACAUAGAGCCAUGAGGCCUUAAUAAAUUUGCCAAGUAUCAGCAUCUGCAUCUGCAUCUGCUUCAAAA